AUGAACGCUGGCGGCGUGCCUAAUACAUGCAAGUCGAGCGAACGGACGAGAAGCUUGCUUUUCUGAUGUUAGCGGCGGACGGGUGAGUAACACGUGGAUAACCUACCUAUAAGACUGGGAUAACUUCGGGAAACCGGAGCUAAUACCGGAUAAUAUUUUGAACCGCAUGGUUCAAAAGUGAAAGACGGUCUUGCUGUCACUUAUAGAUGGAUCCGCGCUGCAUUAGCUAGUUGGUAAGGUAACGGCUUACCAAGGCAACGAUGCAUAGCCGACCUGAGAGGGUGAUCGGCCACACUGGAACUGAGACACGGUCCAGACUCCUACGGGAGGCAGCAGUAGGGAAUCUUCCGCAAUGGGCGAAAGCCUGACGGAGCAACGCCGCGUGAGUGAUGAAGGUCUUCGGAUCGUAAAACUCUGUUAUUAGGGAAGAACAUAUGUGUAGGUAACUGUGCACAUCUUGACGGUACCUAAUCAGAAAGCCACGGCUAACUACGUG
rnacentral:rRNA from 1 species